AGAUACUCCUUUUCGGUGGGAGGUACCUCGAAACAAGAUCUGAUCAGAUUUCCUGUUGACAAGAGGAGAAAGUAGCGUAUUAACAGAUAAAGAUUAUUCCUUGGAACCUGACCUAUCUUGAUAAGCACUAAAAACUAUUAAACAUUUGAAAAAAUAUAGUUAAAAAAUUAACAAAUGGAUCGAUGUACUGCUGAUGUUAAUGUUUAUUAAGCGCAUUUCCAUUUGUCACUCUCCUUGCCUUGUCCUCCGUGCUCUUGGAAGAAAGUGCCAACAAUAUGCCAACACAAGACAGGCUGUGACCUUGCCCAGUUGGGGUGAUGGAGGCAGUUUUGCAUGUUCUAUUAUGUUGUCCUUUUCAUCAACCACGAUACUCCAAACCAGUUCUUUUUCUUCGACUCUGGCAUCUCCUGGUACAGCAAUGUCAAUAAAUUGUACGUUUCGGUUUUCAACAACUGUGAUAUCUGGCAUGUUGUGUUCCAAAUGACGAUCCG